CUGAUGCAUACCGAUAAAUUGGGAAAGAAAUCGAACUAAGCCUAAAGAGAAAAUUAACUAAUUGUUCUUGAACAGCUGGUUCUGUAGAACAGAGGAAUUGAGAAGAGAAAGAGAGAGAACUGUUUAUUGAUCUUUUACAAUUCGAUACCUUUACAAUUGGGGUUGAUCUCCUAUUUAUACACGUGAAUUAAAAGCAGACUCCCAUAGUUAGUUAUAACUAACUUGGCUACAGUGUUAACCGACUAACAACUAGCACGUGCGACUCACAUG
rnacentral:lncRNA from 1 species